rnacentral:piRNA from 1 species
UAGAGAUCAGAAGACAACCUCAGCU